rnacentral:rRNA from 1 species
UGAGGAAUAUUGGUCAAUGGGCGCGAGCCUGAACCAGCCAAGUAGCGUGAAGGAUGAAGGUCCUAUGGAUUGUAAACUUCUUUUAUACGGGAAUAAAGUGGUCCACGUGUGGACUUUUGCAUGUACCGUAUGAAUAAGCAUCGGCUAACUCCGUGCCAGCAGCCGCGGUAAUACGGAGGAUGCGAGCGUUAUCCGGAUUUAUUGGGUUUAAAGGGAGCGCAGACGGGGGAUUAAGUCAGUUGUGAAAGUUUGCGGCUCAACCGUAAAAUUGCAGUUGAUACUGGUUCCCUUGAGUGCAGUUGAGGCAGGCGGAAUUCGUGGUGUAGCGGUGAAAUGCAUAGAUAUCACGAAGAACCCCGAUUGCGAAGGCAGCCUGCUAAGCUGUAACUGACGUUGAGGCUCGAAAGUGUGGGUAUCAAACAGGAUUAGAUACCCUGGUAGUCCACACGGUAAACGAUGGAUACUCGCUGUUGGCGAUAUACUGUCAGCGGCCAAGCGAAAGCAUUAAGUAUCCCACCUGGGGAGUACGCCGGCAACGGUGAAACUCAAAGGAAUUGACGGGGGCCCGCACAAGCGGAGGAACAUGUGGUUUAAUUCGAUGAUACGCGAGGAACCUUACCCGGGCUUAAAUUGCAGACGAAUUACCUGGAAACAGGUAAGCCGCAAGGCGUCUGUGAAGGUGCUGCAUGGUUGUCGUCAGCUCGUGCCGUGAGGUGUCGGCUUAAGUGCCAUAACGAGCGCAACCCUCAUGGCCAGUUACUAGCAGGUAAUGCUGAGGACUCUGGCCAGACUGCCAUCGUAAGAUGCGAGGAAGGUGGGGAUGACGUCAAAUCAGCACGGCCCUUACGUCCGGGGCUACACACGUGUUACAAUGGGAGGUACAGAAGGCAGCUACCCGGCGACGGGAUGCCAAUCUCCAAAGCCUCUCUCAGUUCGGACUGGAGUCUGCAACCCGACUCCACGAAGCUGGAUUCGCUAGUAAUCGCGCAUCAGCCACGGCGCGGUGAAUACGUUCCC